rnacentral:rRNA from 1 species
CGGGCGUAGCAAUACGUCAGCGGCAGACGGGUGAGUAACGCGUGGGAACGUACCUUUUGGUUUCGGAACAACACAGGGAAACUUGUGCUAAUACCGGAUAAGCCUUACGGGAAAGAUUUAUCGCCGAAAGAUCGGCCCGCGUCUGAUUAGCUAGUUGGUAGGGUAAUGGCCUACCAAGGCGACGAUCAGUAGCUGGUCUGAGAGGAUGAUCAGCCACAUUGGGACUGAGACACGGCCCAA